rnacentral:rRNA from 1 species
UACGGAGGGUGCAAGCGUUAUCCGGAUUCACUGGGUUUAAAGGGUGCGUAGGCGGGUUGGUAAGUCCGUGGUGAAAUCCCCAAGCUUAACUUGGGAACUGCCGUGGAUACUAUCAAUCUUGAAUAUCGUGGAGGUAAGCGGAAUAUGUCAUGUAGCGGUGAAAUGCUUAGAUAUGACAUAGAACACCAAUUGCGUAGGCAGCUUACUACACGAUCAUUGACGCUGAGGCGCGAAAGCUAGGGGAGCAAACGGG